rnacentral:rRNA from 1 species
GUCCACGCCCUAAACGAUGAGGACUGGAUGUCGGAGGGGUCUGCCCUUCGGUGUCGUAGCUAACGCGUUAAGUCCUCCGCCUGGGGAGUACGGCCGCAAGGUUGAAACUCAAAGGAAUUGACGGGGGACCCCGCACAAGCGGUGGAGCAUGUGGUUCAAUUCGAUGCAACGCGAAGAACCUUACCUGGCCUUGACAUCCGCGGAACUUGGCAGAAAUGCCUUGGUGCCUUCGGGAAUCGCGAGACAGGUGCUGCAUGGCUGUCGU